rnacentral:sRNA from 1 species
CAUCAGCCUGAACACCACAAUUAUUACCACCACCGCUACCACAGGUAACGGGGCGGGCUGACGCGUACAGGAAAAACAAGAAAAAAGCCCGCACCUCACAGUGCGGGCUUUUUUUU